GAGAAAUUAUAUUACAGAAUGCUGUCUGGGAGAAACAAAAAGUUCCCUUUUACUUUCAUUGUUUGUGCAGUUGUUCAUUCCAAACGUUCAAUUUAUAUACUCUGUAUGGUGUUUUAAAUGUAAAGAAAGGGUUUGUCAUAUGUAUGUAUUUUGGGUGAUUUAGUAAUUUUGUUGAUUUUGUUUUUCUUGAAUGGUUUGACAGAUUGACAAGUGCCAAGCCUGU
rnacentral:misc_RNA from 1 species